GCUUCUAUGGCCAAGUUGGCAAGGCGCCACACUAGUAAUGUGGAGAUCAUCAGUUCGACUCUGGUUGGAAGCA
rnacentral:tRNA from 1 species